rnacentral:rRNA from 1 species
UACGGAGGGUGCAAGCGUUAUCCGGAUUCACUGGGUUUAAAGGGUGCGUAGGCGGGUUUGUAAGUCAGUGGUGAAAUCUCCAAGCUUAACUUGGAAACUGCCGUUGAUACUAUAAAUCUUGAAUGUUGUGGAGGUGAGCGGAAUAUGUCAUGUAGCGGUGAAAUGCUUAGAUAUGACAUAGAACACCAGUUGCGAAGGCAGCUCACUACACAAAUAUUGACACUGAGGCACGAAAGCGUGGGGAUCAAACAGG